rnacentral:piRNA from 1 species
UUGGCCAUCGGGAAGUGCAGCGGUCCCA